UGCUUUACCUGUGGCUCCUACUGUGAGUGAAAUUGAGUAGGAUCAGGUGAUCCUAGUCAAUUUCACUCGCAGCAGGUUCUGGGGAUAAAGCC
rnacentral:pre_miRNA from 1 species